AUUGAACGCUGGCGGCAUGCCUAAUACAUGCAAGUCGAGCGGAGCGGCGGACGGGUGAGUAAUGACUAGGAAUCUACCUUGUAGUGAGGGAUAACGUCCGGACACGGGCGCUAAUACCGCAUACUCUCAGAUGAGCCUAGGUGGGGUUAGCUAGUUGGUGUGGUAAAUGCGUACCAAGGCGACGAACCGUAACUGGCAUGAGAGGAUGAUCAGUCACACUGGAACUGAGACACGUUCCAGACUCCUACGGGAGGCAGCAGUGGGGAAGAUUGGACAAUGGGCGAAAUCCUGAUACAGCAAUGCCGCGGUUGUGAAGAAGGUCUUCGGAUUGUAAAGCUCUUUAAUUUGGGAGGCGGUACCAACACAAUAAGCACCGGCUAACUUCGUGCCAGCAGCCGCUGUAAUAC
rnacentral:rRNA from 1 species